AUUGAACGCUGGCGGCAUGCCUUACACAUGCAAGUCGAACGGUAACACGCGUUCUUGUACCUGCUGGCGAGUGACGGGCGCGUGAGUCAUACAACGGUACACAGCCGUUAGUGGUGGCGAAGCCCGCGCUGGGCUGAUACCUAAUGCGAUCUAAGUAUGGAAGCCGGGGGGGGAACUUCGGUAUUUGGGCUCUCGGGUUUGGAGAUGGCGAUUUCGGAUUAGCUAGUUGGUGGGGUAAAGGCCUACCAAGGCGACGAUCCGUAGCUGGUCUGAGAGGACGAUCAGCCACACUGGGACUGAGACACGGCCCAGACUCCUACGGGAGGCAGCAGUGGGGAAUUUUGGACAAUGGGCGAAAGCCUGAUCCAGCAAUGCCGCGUGUGUGAAGAAGGCCUUCGGGUUGUAAAACGCUUUUGGCAGGAAAGAAACGCUGUGCGCUAAUACCGGCCGGUAAUGACGGUACCUGAAGAAUAAGCACCGGCUAACUACGUG
rnacentral:rRNA from 1 species